GAAGGUGGCCUGUGAGGGUUGCUGGAGGUAUCAGAAGUGCGAAUGCUGACAUAAGUAACGAUAAAGCGGGUGAAAAGCCCGCUCGCCGGAAGACCAAGGGUUCCUGUCCAACGUUAAUCGGGGCAGGGUGAGUCGACCCCUAAGGCGAGGCCGAAAGGCGUAGUCGAUGGGAAACGGGUUAAUAUUCCCGUACUUGGUGUUACUGCGAAGGGGGGACGGAGAAGGCUAUGUUGGCCGGGCGACGGUUGUCCCGGUUUAAGCGUGUAGGUGUGUGUUCCAGGUAAAUCCGGUUCACUUUAACACUGAGGCGUGAUGACGAGGCACUACGGUGCUGAAGCAACAAAUGCCCUGCUUCCAGGAAAAGCCUCUAAGCAUCAGGUAACAUCAAAUCGUACCCCAAACCGACACAGGUGGUCAGGUAGAGAAUACCAAGGCGCUUGAGAGAACUCGGGUGAAGGAACUAGGCAAAAUGGUGCCGUAACUUCGGGAGAAGGCACGCUGACACGUAGGUGAAGUGAUUUACUCACGGAGCUGAAGUCAGUCGAAGAUACCAGCUGGCUGCAACUGUUUAUUAAAAACACAGCACUGUGCAAACACGAAAGUGGACGUAUACGGUGUGACGCCUGCCCGGUGCCGGAAGGUUAAUUGAUGGGGUCAGCGCAAGCGAAGCUCCUGAUCGAAGCCCCGGUAAACGGCGGCCGUAACUAUAACGGUCCUAAGGUAGCGAAAUUCCUUGUCGGGUAAGUUCCGACCUGCACGAAUGGCGUAAUGAUGGCCAGGCUGUCUCCACCCGAGACUCAGUGAAAUUGAACUCGCUGUGAAGAUGCAGUGUACCCGCGGCAAGACGGAAAGACCCCGUGAACCUUUACUAUAGCUUGACACUGAACAUUGAGCCUUGAUGUGUAGGAUAGGUGGGAGGCUUUGAAGUGUGGACGCCAGUCUGCAUGGAGCCGACCUUGAAAUACCACCCUUUAAUGUUUGAUGUUCUAACGUGGACCCGUGAUCCGGGUUGCGGACAGUGUCUGGUGGGUAGUUUGACUGGGGCGGUCUCCUCCUAAAGAGUAACGGAGGAGCACGAAGGUUGGCUAAUCCUGGUCGGACAUCAGGAGGUUAGUGCAAUGGCAUAAGCCAGCUUGACUGCGAGCGUGACGGCGCGAGCAGGUGCGAAAGCAGGUCAUAGUGAUCCGGUGGUUCUGAAUGGAAGGGCCAUCGCUCAACGGAUAAAAGGUACUCCGGGGAUAACAGGCUGAUACCGCCCAAGAGUUCAUAUCGACGGCGGUGUUUGGCACCUCGAUGUCGGCUCAUCACAUCCUGGGGCUGAAGUAGGUCCCAAGGGUAUGGCUGUUCGCCAUUUAAAGUGGUACGCGAGCUGGGUUUAGAACGUCGUGAGACAGUUCGGUCCCUAUCUGCCGUGGGCGCUGGAGAACUGAGGGGGGCUGCUCCUAGUACGAGAGGACCGGAGUGGACGCAUCACUGGUGUUCGGGUUGUCAUGCCAAUGGCACUGCCCGGUAGCUAAAUGCGGAAGAGAUAAGUGCUGAAAGCAUCUAAGCACGAAACUUGCCCCGAGAUGAGUUCUCCCUGAGACUU
rnacentral:rRNA from 2 species